AAACUUAGGAUAUGUUUAAACCC
rnacentral:tRNA from 1 species